UGCGACCUACCACUGAUUAUUGCUGCCUGGAAUCGAGUUUUUAGUAGUUUUAACCGAUGCCCUACGAUUACAUUUGGUCUCCGAAUCACCCGGCUGCAGCCAGCGAUAUCGAUUGGCAACGUGGGGCAGCUCGCCGUAGACCUUCUGGUAUCCUUGACGAGGGCGAGGCGGGUGGCCUACCUCAACGUGGUGGGGCAACGACGCCUUCGGCCCUGACGCCGUCGGGGACCUCGCACUCGCUCACGAAGCUUAUGAAUCUACAUCUCAUGGGCUGUCUUUCAUUCAGCAAAGGUCUCCAGCUAUUACAGGAAUGAUGGUUUCAUUUGCAAAAAUGCUGCUGAUUUCUUAAGCAGCAUCAGGAAAGAACCAUAUUGUUAUUAUUUCAAGUUUAGAUUCUGAAAAGAGGAGGAUAAUUGAUGCAUCCAGUGACAUGCAGAUGUAUUACCUUUCAAGUUGCAACGAAGAUGGUUCUGAUCCAGAAUAUGAGAAAUUGGGGGUGGAAGAAGCUUGAGGAUUACAAUCCAUCCCAGAAACAUUGGAAUUGUCUUGCUAGCCUAGUUGAGGGCGGUCAUCUUUCAGAAGAUAUGGAUGAUGAUACUGAUGAGAGGACAAUAAAUGAUUAUUAUGCGAGCUUACAUUUGCAGCACUAUUCUAUGCCUGCAAGGCUAAAGGCUUGAAAGUUUCUUGUGUACCGUGCUACUGCUCAGAAGGCGACAACAUACCAGAAGCUUUCCAGUUAGCUGAGGAAGUAAGCAAACUUCUAGGUCAUUGCCCUGAGAAAUUCCAUGGAAAUGGGUCAAAUGGGUGGAUUGUUCCCUUGUCGUGGAAAUCAGUUUAUGGACCACCACCUGAUAUGUCCAUCUUUUAGUGUUGAAUUAUGAUCUGGUAAGUCAGUUUUGUUACUGGAAAGGGAGCUCUAUGUUUUAUAAUGUGUUUCUGUGUUGUCAUUGGCUACAAAUUCAAACGAUUCACUUGCAUUCAAUGAUUCUGGCUAUAAAUAGCAUUUCCAAAAGAAAUCGAGCUUAUGUAUUCUAUAGCAUCGGAUUUACUGAAAUAUUCUGUAUGUGCGAAACUUCUUUGAAACGUUGUUAUAGAUAACUAGAUACCCAAAUGAGCCUUAUUUUUAAAGGUAAUGCUCCUACUAUGGAAGUUAUCUUUAUCUUCUUUUGUUUACAGAUCUUCCCUACCGGCUGAGUUUUUUUGUUUACAGAUCCUAUGUCUGAGUUUAGCAGCUAUCCUUUCCUGAAAGCUUGUAAUUUCAGUUAAAGAAUAUUGUUAGCACAAAAUGUUUGAUUGUUUUCGCAAAUUCUGAAUUA